CCUACGGGAGGCAGCAGUGGGGAAUCUUGCGCAAUGCGCGAAAGCGUGACGCAGCAACGCCGCGUGGGGGAAGAAGGCCUUCGGGUUGUAAACCCCUUUCAGUUGGGACGAAGCUCCGUCGGUGAAUAGCCGGCUGGAGUGACGGUACCUUCAGAAGAAGCCCCGGCUAACUACGUGCCAGCAGCCGCGGUAAUACGUAGGGGGCAAGCGUUGUCCGGAAUCAUUGGGCGUAAAGAGCGUGUAGGCGGCUCGGUAAGUCCGCUCUGAAAGCCCGGGGCUCAACCCCGGGAGGCGGGCGGAUACUGUCGGGCUAGAGUCCGGAAGAGGCGAGUGGAAUUCCUGGUGUAGCGGUGAAAUGCGCAGAUAUCAGGAGGAACACCAAUGGCGAAGGCAGCUCGCUGGGACGGUACUGACGCUGAGACGCGAAAGCGUGGGGAGCA
rnacentral:rRNA from 1 species